CCUAGGGUGUCUGCAGUGGGGAAUAUUGGACAAUGGGCGAAAGCCUGAUCCAGCCAUGCCGCGUGUGUGAAGAAGGCCUUCGGGUUGUAAAGCACUUUCAGUGGGGAAGAAAGCCUUGGGGCUAAUACCCUCGAGGAAGGACAUCACCCACAGAAGAAGCACCGGCUAACUCCGUGCCAGCAGCCGCGGUAAUACGGAGGGUGCGAGCGUUAAUCGGAAUUACUGGGCGUAAAGCGCGCGUAGGCGGUCUGAUAAGCCGGUUGUGAAAGCCCCGGGCUCAACCUGGGAACGGCAUCCGGAACUGUCAGGCUAGAGUGCAGGAGAGGAAGGUAGAAUUCCCGGUGUAGCGGUGAAAUGCGUAGAGAUCGGGAGGAAUACCAGUGGCGAAGGCGGCCUUCUGGACUGACACUGACGCUGAGGUGCGAAAGCGUGGGUAGCAAACAGGAUUAGAUACCCCUGUAGUC
rnacentral:rRNA from 1 species